AGUGAACGCUGGCGGCAGGCCUAACACAUGCAAGUCGAGCGGCAGCGCGUCCGACCACCCUCGGGUGGUCGGAUGGCGGCGAGCGGCGGACGGGUGAGGAAUGCAUCGGAAUCUGCCUCGUUGUGGGGGAUAACGUAGGGAAACUUACGCUAAUACCGCAUACGACCUACGGGUGAAAGUGGGGGACCUUCGGGCCUCACGCGAUGAGAUGAGCCGAUGCCGGAUUAGCUAGUUGGCGGGGUAAAGGCCCACCAAGGCGACGAUCCGUAGCUGGUCUGAGAGGAUGAUCAGCCACACUGGAACUGAGACACGGUCCAGACUCCUACGGGAGGCAGCAGUGGGGAAUAUUGGACAAUGGGGGCAACCCUGAUCCAGCCAUGCCGCGUGUGUGAAGAAGGCCUUCGGUUGUUAAAGCGACUUUUGUUGGGGUAGGAAACCGGACCGGGUUAAUAACCCUGGUUGAUGACGGUACCAAACGGAAUAAAGACCGGCUAACUUCGUGCCAGCAGCCGCGGUAAACACG
rnacentral:rRNA from 1 species